rnacentral:rRNA from 1 species
UACGUAGGGGGCAAGCGUUGUCCGGAUUUAUUGGGCGUAAAGAGCGUGUAGGCGGCCAGGUAGGUCCGUUGUGAAAACUCGAGGCUCAACCUCGAGACGCCGAUGGAAACCAUCUGGCUAGAGUCCGGAAGAGGAGAGUGGAAUUCCCGGUGUAGCGGUGAAAUGCGCAGAUAUCGGGAAGAACACCGGUGGCGAAGGCGGGUCUCUGGGCCGAUAUUGACGCUGAGGAGCGAAAGCGUGGGGAGCGAACAGG